UAGGGAAUCUUCGGCAAUGGACGAAAGUCUGACCGAGCAACGCCGCGUGAGUGAAGAAGGUUUUCGGAUCGUCAAACUCUGUUGUUAGAGAAGAACAAGGACGUUAGUAACUGAACGUCCCCUGACGGUAUCUAACCAGAAAGCCACGGCUAACUACGUGCCAGCAGCCGCGGUAAUACGUAGGUGGCAAGCGUUGUCCGGAUUUAUUGGGCGUAAAGCGAGCGCAGGCGGUUUCUUAAGUCUGAUGUGAAAGCCCCCGGCUCAACCGGGGAGGGUCAUUGGAAACUGGGAGACUUGAGUGCAGAAGAGGAGAGUGGAAUUCCAUGUGUAGCGGUGAAAUGCGUAGAUAUAUGGGGGAACACCAGUGGCGAAGGCGGCUCUCUGGUCUGUAACUGACGAUGAGGCUCGAAAGCGUGGGGAGCAAACAGG
rnacentral:rRNA from 1 species